UUUGGUGACGAUGGCGAAAGGGUUCCACGCGUACCCAUCCCGAACACGACCGUUAAGCCUUUCAGCGCCGAUGGUACUUGGACCGCAGGGUCCUGGGAGAGUAGGACGUUGCCAAGC
rfam:Paenibacillus sp. 11 genome assembly, contig: Ga0139009_106